GGGCGCAUAGCUCAGGUGGUUAGAGCGCACGCCUGAUAAGCGUGAGGUCGGUGGUUCGAGUCCACUUGUGCCCACCA
rnacentral:tRNA from 28 species